rfam:Dipodomys ordii contig_37015, whole genome shotgun sequence.
GGUGGCUCAGUGGUAGAGUGUUUGCCUUGCAUGCAUGAGGACCUGGGUUCGAUUCCUCAGCACCA